UGGUGUUGCUCAGCAGUGCACUGUGCCUCUGUGGUGAGCAGGGGAGCUCUGAGCUGUGCCCUGCAGGAGCAGCUCCAGGCAUAUGCUCCAGAGGAGUCAGCAGAAAGAAAAGAGCCUUUCCCUGUUCCUGCCCUCCCCACGCUGCAUCUCUGGACAGAAUUCCCUAUUUCAGUAUUUAAAGGUGAUUUUAUACCUCUGGACUUGUUCCCCAAGGAGCACAAGGUGCAGGAAACACCCUGACACAGGGAGAGAGGAGUGGGCACAGCCCAUUUGAGGUCUUUCCUAUGUUUGUUCCCACAAAGGAUGGAGAUUCUUGGCUCUCUGUGGAUCUUCUCCUGCUCCACAGCUUCACAAGACCUGCCUGGACUUCCUCCCCAUCCCAAUGCUUUGUCCCUGCUGUCCCACUGAGUUCAGCUCCUCCAGCUCUCCCACUAAUUUGGAGGCACAGAAAAACACAGGUCAUGAACAAGACACAUCCUGGGACAAUUUCUUCUGAUCGUUUGUGUUGCAAGCUGCUGGUCCAAACCAUAAGAAAUCUCUCCUUCUUUUACAACCACAUUUCCUUUUCUCAUAGCAUGGGAGAGCCUCAUGAGCUAUAAGGAACUCUUGCACUCCUGCAGCCAGCACAUACCCUCAUUUUGACAGGGAGAAGCCAGGAGUCAAGCAGGCAGAUCCCAGUCCUGAUGGAAACGAGCCUGAAAUUCCAUGGACCCGUCUCUGUAUAACAUGUGCUGCACAGAGAACCUGGAAAUGAUCCAGUCCCCAAACUGCUUACAAUAUUGAGGAGAUUUUAACCUUCCACAUCACUGAAUGGCAGCUGAACACUCCAGAAGUGCAAAGCAUGGGAAUCAUCAGCAAUUCCUCAAGUUCCGUGGUGUUGCUCAGCAGUGCACUGUGCCUCUGUGGUGAGCAGGGGAGCUCUGAGCUGUGCCCUGCAGGAGCAGCUCCAGGCACAUGCUCCAGAGGAGUCAGCAGAAAGAAAAGAGCCUUUCCCUGUUCCUGCCCUCCCCACGCUGCAUCUCGGG